GGUCGGAAGAAUCUUGCUAUAUUGGGUGGAAAACAGCAUGGAUGUGUCGAUUAUUGCUCAAAUUGAAAGUUUGAGCACAGCGGAAAAUUUGAUCCAUCAGGUCCGACACAAAUUGAAAGAAUAAAAAGACUGACCAUGUGGUCAUCAUUUCCGUUGAAUAUAAUUCUUGACCAUACAAAACUGGCGAAGAAAAUGAGGAUUAAGUGUUGUGUGGGCGUUGAAAGUUCUUCAGGAUAGCAAAUAGCAUUUCGGCGUCGAUUUCGUCGAAUAUAUGCACAAACUGCGCUUCGAAGGCACGACCCAAGAAAAAGUUGUAUGGGAAAAACUCUCGAAAAUAAAAAAGAAGCAUGGCCUCAACACUUCAUCUGCUGGAAUGAAUGCGCCAACUGUUGGUUAUCAAUCAACCAUUGAAUUCAUCUGACGAAGAAUUUCUGGCAGUCACUCCAUUGGCCUUGACUUUGUCUUCACCCGGAGGAACGCGUCUACUGGGUAAUCCUGCACAGCUGCAGCACUGUCAAAGGCUCACAACUGCAGUACGAUAUUAGCAGCCAGCGGCAAUAAUUUUAAAUUUGGCUAUCAGGCUGGCUCUGAAAAAAAAGUAAAUGAAUAGUGAAAAUUUGUACGGACUGCUAAAGUUCGACCUAAGAAAUAGUUUUGAAUUACUAGGAACCGAUCUACAGUUUCUGGACAGACUCGACUCCUUUUGUCGCUCAAUACAACACCCGCUAGGCUAAUGUUUUGCUCGCUGUUAUCACCCGCAGCGGGUAUUGUGAGGAUGCGUUUCGCCAGAGUGGCCAGUCUCGGAAACAGGGAAGCUCAACAGUGUUUCGGGUGCGUCGUCAUUCCUUCUACCGUAUUGCAAGUACAGCUCCGGCUCUGCCUACGGCGCUAGAAUACCACUGCUACUUUCAUCCAUUCACGACCCAAAUCGAUAUCUUUUGGAAUCUCAGCGGACUAAGAUCUUUGCUUUCACAGUGUGAGGCAGCAAACUGAAAAAGACUGACCGGUUCAUGUAGUUCACAGCGUUUCUUGCUACUUGUAGGCAUGUCAUGAUCAAUGGAGCAUGGUCUCUCAAAUAAUUGCCAUCCAAUGCAUGCUUCAAAACGGUGUCUGGAUAAUUGACCAUGCAGAAAACAACUCCUUACAUUUGCAGAGAUUUCAGAUUGAUCCGAUGAAAAAUCAGUCGUAAAUAACACCAGUGAUUUGAGCUCAAACUUCUCCGUGAUGUAUUAGGCCGUAGUCGUGAGGUAUGCUGUUUCCGAAUACCAAUCCGACCACAGAUCAGCAUCGCAAGCACAGCAUUUAGCUCUCAAAGCCUCCCUCACUUCUGGCAACUGUUUCGCUCUGACCUUCUCUGCAACGACGCACGCUUUCCUCGAAACUAUUGAUGGGUCCGGCAGCACACUUUCGAGGUCCACAUUCCCGAAUUCCGCACCAACUUCGAUAAGCUUCUGCGCCAAAUUCCUAAAACCUGGUCCAUUAAGCACGCUAAAUGGACGCAGAUCCAAGGCUUCCCACUUCACGCAAGCAUCAAAAAAUCCGGUCUUUGACGUGCUGUGGUACGCUUUGGGCAGAAGCUUGGCCUCUCGGAAUACUCUCUUGUACCACUUUCGGGAUACUCUCCUGUUCCACUUCAGAAGCCACUUCCGGGAUACUCUCCUGUUCCUCUUCAGAAGCCGAAGACUCAGGAUCGGAAUCGGAAGCGCCUUACCUGGUUCUCUCGAAGUGUUAAUUCAGGUUCGAGGUACUGUUGCCUUUCGGGAAUCGGAAAAGGGAUCCGCAGUUCACGCACUGCACAAAGCCGACACACUCCCUUGUGGUGCUCAAACACACGUUCUUGAAUAUACUCCAAGCUUCGCAUGAUCGGGCACCUUCCUUGUCGCAAAGGAUGUACUCGCCUGAGCGAACCCGGAUGCGAACGGUAGCAGCGUUAACCGGUGCGUUUUCCAUAAUGGGAGAAUUUGGUUUUAUUGUAAGCUCAGUAGAAAGAGAGAUUGAUCAAAUGUAGACUCAACUAAAAGGCUUCUCAUUUCACACGGUAUACUUUGGACAAAGAUUGGCCUUCCAUAGUUCUUUCCUGAUCAUGUAUUUCAAAUCCAGCUUCGCAACCAGAAGACGAGGAACUAAUUCCUGCGUCCUAAAAGCAGAACUGACAACCCUGCCCUGUAACUUUCAAAGUGGCGAUUAAGAUUCGACGUGCUAUUGCCCUUUGGGAACCGGAAAAGAGAUUGAUACUUUGCACACUGCACAAACCCAACACUCUCCCUUGUGCUGCUCAAACACACCUUCUUGAAAAUGCUCCAAGCUUCGGAUGAUCGGCACCUUGCUUAUCAUCGCAUACGAUGUACUCUCCUGAGCGCACCCGAAUAGCACUAUCUACUGGUGUGUUUUCCAUUCUGGGUUGUCAUUCAGCAGUCGAGAAGAGCAUCGGAUAUCUUAGAUCCUGGAUAGGACCAAGGAAAUUGGGUGUGCCUCUCUUGGGCAUUUCGUUAAUUUACGAACGUUUGGACACAGUACAGCUCCAAUGAAGUGGUCUUCUCGGAGACAACAAUUAAUUCCAACAAAAUAGAAUAGUGUUGAACCAUUCAACCUCUGUUGCUCUCCCUUCUGGCCAAGAACAUCCUUAAUUUUUGAAAUUACAUCAACGACAUCAACUAGCAUAUCGACAUCUGCAUUCCAGCGGACUUCAAACUUUGCUUUCACAGUGUAAGGCAGCAAACUGAAAAAGCCUGACUAGUUCAAGUAGUUCACAGCGUUUCUUGCUACUUGCAGGCAUGUCAUGAUCGAUGGAGCAUGGUCUCUCAAAAAAUUUCCAUCCAAUGCAUGUUUCAAAAAGGUGUCCAGAUUAUUGGCCAUGCAGGACACAAAGUUCCGAUUGGCGAAUGCUUUGGCAAUAUUUGAGCGCUGGUCCGUUAUGUGAGUCACUUCAGCAAUGUCCUCUUGGGAAAUCUGGAGUUUUUCAAUUGCAGCAUGUGAAAAACUCCUUACAUUCGCAGCGAUUUCGGAUUGAUCCGCUGGGAGGUCAGUCGUAAAUAGCACCAGCGAUUUGAGCUCGAACUCCUCCGUUAUGUAUUUGGCCGUAGUCGUGAGGUAUGCUGAUUCCGAAUACCGAUCCGACCACAGAUCAGCAUCGCAAGCACAGCAUUUAGCUCUCAAAGCCUCCCUCACUUCUGGCAACUGUUUCGUUCUGACCUUCUCUGCAACGACGCACGCUUUCCCGAAACUAUUGAUGGGUCUGGCAGAACACUUUCGAGGUCCACAUUCCUGAAUUCCGCACCAACUUCGAUAAGCUUCUGCGCCCAAUUCCUAAAACCUGGUCUGUUAAGCACACAAAAUAGACGCAGAUCUAAGGCUUUCCACUUCAUGCAAGCGUUAAAAAUUUGGUCCUUGACGUGCUGUUGUACGCUUUGGGCAGAAGCUUGGCCUUCCGGAAUACUCUCCUGUUCCACUUCAGAAGCCGAAGACUCAGGAUCGGAUUCAGAAGCACCUGCUCUGCAUCUCUCGAAGUGGCGAUUCAGGUUCGAGGUACUGUUGCCCUUCGGGAAUCGGAAAAGGGAUCCGCAGUUCACGCACUGCACAAAGCCAACACACUCCCUUGUAGUGCUCAAACUCACAUUCUUGAAGAUACUCCAAGCUUCGCAUGAUCGGGCACCUUCCUUGUCGCAAAGUAUGUACUCGCCUAAGCGCACCCGUAUGCGAAUCGUAGCACUGUCAAUCGGUGUGUUUUCCAUUCUGAGAAUGAUAAUGGGAACUACAUUAUUCUAUUGUAAGUUUUUUAGAAAGAGAGAUUGAUCA